ensembl:processed_transcript
GUGUUGCGCCUCCGCGGGUCGCCGCGCAUUGGGGCCGCGAUUGCUGUGCAGCGUCGGAAGUCGGCGGCCGCUCAGGAACUAUGAGGAAAAGCUUAAAAUGCCUCAAACUUUUUUUUUUUUUUUUUGGAGGGAGGAGACUGGGGAGAUGGAUUUGAAGAGGAUUGACCAAAUUGGAAGAAAAUAUUUGUCCUCUGCUUUGGUGUCAGAAAAGGGAAUUUUCCAAUCUGCCACACCUCAGUGUUGCGGCAAAAAUAAUUCUUGGCUCCCCUGGAAACUAUCGGGCAAGGUAGGGCAGAACUGCUGCUGCUAUUGAAUGGGCUGCUCCCAAGUGAACAGAUCUGCGUUGAUGCUCUGGUCGUCCAAAAGUCCUCAAAUCAGCUCUGAGCUGAGCCCACUAUUGGAAGAAUCUGCCUUUUGGAAGUUGCCGCUACCUUGUGCUUGGGAAGAUUUGGCUCAAGCCCUCUUUCCCUGCCUGGAGACUUAUUGGGGAUGUAAAAUUAGAGAAUAGCAGGUGACCAGCAAAUUAGGGGAGGAUUAAAUACUUCCAAGUUGUCACAGCAAGAAGAAAGAGGAAUAUCUCAGGAGUUUGACCUCAAGCCUGCAAAGUGGUGGUAUUCUACCAGGAUGUCUGUAUGCUUCCUGAUGCUGUUGAGUCCUGUGGGAGGAGAAUCUGAGCACCCUGAUGCCCCUUAUCCCCAAUUCUGGACUGUGGAGCUGAGAGUGACAACAGCCAAGAAUUUUGUAGAGUACAGCUCCAUCUGUAAGUAGGUGACAAUCUCUUGGCAACACAGGCUCAGCUGAGGAUGGUGUUUGUGCAUCUAAGCCAUCAUACUAGAGCAGUUUGCCUACAUUUUUGUGGAAUGGCAAAGAGGACCUGCUUGACCACCCUUCUUUCUAUGGGUAAGUGUUCAUCCUCAUUUUUAUACAUUCUUUUCUGCCUUCAAAUGUGAAAGUUUGAUAGGUAUUUGUAAUCCUGGACUGCUAUAUCUUCUUUCUUCCUCUCCUAUGUGCCCCACCUUUUGUCUUUCAAAAGGAAAUGUUGCAAUUCAGUGUUCGGCCACAAUAUAUCUGUCUUCCUUAGAUUCAUACUUUAGAAGCCAGUUUUCUCUAAAAUGGAUCCAGGAGACAUGUCUUUGGUGAGAAGUGUUAAUUAAUAGCCUCAUGAAGGACCCUGCUGCACUCACUGUGCCCAGCUUGUGCUGAGGCUUCUAGCUGGCUGGCUGCAUGAGGAUGGUCUUUGCCAGCACCUGGCAUAGAUCUGCCAAGUUCUAGCUCCAAAUCUCUAGGCUGUAGGAACCUCAACUAUAUAUAGCCUUGAGCUAAGUAGAUCUUAGCAGACAUGUCUACCCUUCCCUGUGAGAGAAGAGUACUUCUAUCAUAACUACAGUGUGGAAAAUGAGUUAUCUUCAAGGGCUGGAAGGUGUGUAUUUCCGUAUCAGGCUUGGGUCUGCCAUACUUACUCUUCUUUUUCCUGUUUCAGGUGCUGAAAGAUGAAAAGUCAUGCUGGAUGAGGUUGCUGAGGUGGGAUGAGGGCCAGUAGGAUGCCAUGUAUAGAGAAGGAAAGACUUGGAGCACUCCAUGUGGCCAAAGGUGGUUAUGCCCUACAUCAAACCCCAGCUUCCAAUGUCUCCUCUGUUUCCUGCUUAAUUUGCUCUGCUCAAAGAUACCUUUUGACCUUUCCUCAUUCUUUUGGACCUUUUGCUCUCUCUGUUUUCAUCUACCCCUGCCUGUUCUUCCAUUUGUUUUUUCUUUAGGAUGAAUGAAAAUAUUUUCAGCUACUGAUCCAGCAGCCAUAUUUAUUCUUUGCCUUCUCUUGUCUUCUUUGCCUUCAUCCUAAUUAAGCAAGGCAGAAAGGGCUAAUUGUCUUGGGAAGGAAGGUGGUUAGAAAAUAAAAGCCCAUGUUGUUCAGUGGUAGGGCCUAGUAGGUUAGAUGGUCUUCCUUCUUGUAGGUACUGUUGAGCCACCAAUUUGUGUGAUUCCUUGACCUCAAGUAUAGUUUAAUAUAACAUGGGCCUGGUCUUGUGGGUAGAUUAAAAUCAAGCUGCUGAUUAGAAAGGAGAAGCAACAAAGAAAAUGUCUGAUCAUGCCUCUAAGGUAGGUGGAGUGUGGCUGUUCCCUGGAUCUAUUCCCUUAAACCUUACCAUUCCAAACCUCCAACAAUUAUCUUUUUCUUUCCAUCCUCCCCCUGGCUUUUCUGUAAAUGGGUGACUAGCAGAGUGCUAAGAUAAAGGCAGCCUGCUCAACUAGCUAGGCCAUGAGAUGUUUGGAAAAUAUCUGGGCAGCACUGUAGACAGGGUAGCUCCUUGGCUACUGACAGCUAACCUGAGCUUAUUCAGGGUGUAAUUCCCAUACCAUCCCUGAGGUCCUGGGAGCUGCCCAGGGUGCAAACAUGCUCUUUCCUUUUAGAGUGGGUAUUUGUCUUACUCUGGACACACUGAGCUUUAAGGGGGCUUAGGCUAAGCCUGGGAUAUAGCUUAUACUGGGCUGAGCAGUAACUAGAUUCUGGAUUUUUCCCUACUUGGAAUUUUUCUUUGAAUGAAUUGUUUUUUCUUUAGGUCUUCAAUUGUCUUCAAAUUAUCUCCAGGUACUCAACAGAGUUACAUAUGCUUUUUCUCUGCCUUACAAUAACAGCAAUGUUGAGUUAAAGUGAUGAUGUCCCUCAGAAGUAGGAAGACAACCGAAUUGUAAACAAAUCAGAAAGCAGCAGGUACUUGCUGUGACAUUCAAAAGUCCCUGUCCAUCAUUGCUGGCAGUGUUCUUAGCCAAUAGGGCCAGUGGGAACUAACUAAUAGCCAGAGAUUUAGGGUCUAAGGAAAAAGGAAUUAUCCUGGAUAAUUCUACUAGGUACCUGUGAGAUCUCAAUCCCAGCUAUCUAAUGUAGCUACUCUGCUGGCACCAUGUAGAUGUGUUUCUCCUUCCUUGCUCCCUCCCACUACUGUCCAAGGAAGACAAAUGAAUCUCACCUCAUACGUUUAAUUGUCUUGUUUUUCCCUUUAAGGCAAGCCUUUGAGGUCCUUGCCAAGAAAAGUCAGUUUUGAUAAGUUUUCUAUUACUUCAAGGAGCUGAACAAGUUCAGUCACUUCCUCAGUAGUGUGUGAGGGGUAGCAGAGGGUUAGAAGAACUGAUGUUUAAAUGAAGAGGUGAGUUCAAUCAGCUCUGCAGCUGGGAGAUAGAAAGGAAUAAACCUAGUUCAAGAUGAUACCCACUGGUGUGCUAGAGCCAGAUGUGCUUUGCCUUGCUCCUAGCCUCAGCCUGGCUUCUGUUGUGUGACAGGCAGCACUGUGUGUUGCCAGCCAAGUAGGCAUGGCAGUUAACAUGCCUUGAGUAGGAUAUAGGCAUGCCUGGCACUUUUUCCUUGACCUCUGAGUCUCUAAGGUCUAGAAGACAGUUGUGGUACUAAAGCUGAGACAGCAUAGCCAUAGAAUACAAAGUACCUUACUCAGAGCCCUUAUUGGGCCAUACCAUCUGGGUUCUACUGAAUCCUGUUCUUACUGGGGCUAUGAAUUGUUCAAAUGAUAUCUUGGCUCUAUUCUCUGGCUUGGGUAUGUCCCCAAUACUGCAGCUUUAGAGGAGGACGUGAACUCUCACAGGUAAUUUCUUUAAACAUAUCGCCAGCCUUUAGGAUAAGUAAGAGAUACUGCCCUAGUCACCCUGCCAUCUAUGGGAGGUUCUUGUUUUCCUUAAUUUAUCUGAUCAAUGGCCAUGAGAAAAGUAUACACUGGUUUGGAUCCUUGCUGGUUCCUUCCAACUGCUUUUAGGCUGAUAAGCAAGAAAAUACUCUUGAAGCCUCAUAGUCUGCAGAAUUUGAUGCUGUGGAAUGAUACCUAUGUGAAUAGAGUAUAGAAAUAGGUUGGAAGGAACUUCAUAGAGCCAUGUUUCUUUGUGGUUGGAUAAAAGAAACAAGUCAUGAGGUUGGAUAUGUGGGAAGACAUAUCCAAAUGUCUAGGCUGUAGGUGGGAUGGAGCCCAGAUGAAUCUCUAACGAGGCAAGGAGAUGGGAUCAGAUAUCUUGGUCCCCAUAUUCCAUCCAUGGAAAAGGAGACUGCCCUCUCACCAUUGGUGACACAGAUUAUUUCCCUUUGAUUGUUAUGAAAGUAUAAUUAUUAAAUGACUUAAGUCAAAUUCACACAAUUGAUGAGUGAUGUUGAGGUUUGCUUCAGCACCUCUAAUUCCAAAGCCAUGUUUUCUCCUCACCCUUGGGCUAAAAGUUAGACAUUUUGUGAAUUAACAUCCCCAAGAAACAAUAUAAUCUACAAUAUAAGCAAACUAUGUCCCAGUUAGACUGUCCACAUUCCUUUUUGGGGGGAUGUGUGGCAGAUAUUAUUUGGUGUCCAUGGAAAUGAAAAAUAUCUUCUAGAUAUUGGUGGAUAUACUAGAAGCUGGAGGUACAGAGCCCUGAGACUAGAUUUCUUCUUGUACUGUGGGUAUAAAAUUGUCUAUAAUAUAGCAGCAUAAAAUACACAGUAGCCACAGAUAACAUUGUGUGUGAAGGAAGAGGAAGGCAUCACUCAUUGAAAAUAUGGUGACUAAUUUCUGUCGUGUUAGCACUCAGGAGGCUAAAGUAGGAGAGUUGAGUUCUAAGCUGGCCUAGGCUAGCUUAGAUUAAGACCCUGUCUCAAACACCUCCCCCUCC